GGCCAGACUCCUACGGGAGGCAGCAGUGGGGGAUAUUGCACAAUGGGGGGAACCCUGAUGCAGCGACGCCGCGUGGGUGAAGGAGCGUUUCGGCGCGUAAAGCCCUAUCGGCAGGGAAGAAGGAGGACGGUACCUGACUAAGAAGCCCCGGCUAACUACGUGCCAGCAGCCGCGGUAAUACGUAGGGGGCAAGCGUUAUCCGGAUUUACUGGGUGUAAAGGGGGCGCAGACGGCAGCGCAAGCCAGGAGUGAAAGCCCGGGGCCCAACCCCGGGCAUGCAUUGGAAACUGGCGGGCUGGAGUGCCGGAGAGGUAAGCGGAAUUCCUAGUGUAGCGGUGAAAUGCGUAGAUAUUAGGAGGAACACCAGUGGCGAAGGCGGCUUACUGGACGGCAACUGACGCUGAGGCUCGAAAGCGUGGGGAGCAAACAGGAUUAGAUACCCGCGUAAA
rnacentral:rRNA from 1 species